UUAGAGGAGGAACUAUGAAAUCCCAGGGGGAGGUGCUCGUGAGGCUGUCUUCAGCUCCUGAGCCAUAAAACAUUCCACUUGAGAUUCAGAGUUCAGACUACAGAAAACAAGUGCAGCAGAGACACUUCUAUCAUGUCAAGCCGAGUAACAGAGGGCAGUGGAUCAGAUUCCCACAGCAAGCUUGACAGGUUCACAGAAUGGCUGCUGCAGAAGCUCAGUUACAUCAGCGUGACAACCGGCCAUGACGAGUACAUGAAAGAGAUUGGAGAGAGGCAGCAGAGGAAUGGGGAUUUGAACUGCGAGAGAUUAGUGCAACGUGCACCAGCCACGGCAGCCACUUAAAAGAAUAUUAUUCUUUCCUACAGCUUAUACUGUAGUGUAUGGAGUAUAUUUUUGCUACUCUAUAUAGUGUUUCUCAUGCUUGGCCUCCUAUAGCAAAAGAAAAUUAGAAAGUGGGGAGUGAUUGGGGAGAUGGGGGUGGGCUGGACAAGUGAUUUAGAAAGUAAUCCGAGCCGAACUGAAAAAAAAUAUUUCAAACUGACUGAGCCAAACCUGGAAAGCUGCACAAAACAGGAAGGGAAGGAAAAGAACAGACAAAAUAAAUAAGAAACAAGGGGGGAAAGAGAAACAGGGGACACAGGCUGUGGGGGAUGAGGACAGUGUUCAUGAAGCGGGACACAUAGGCAGUAAUUUUAAAGCAGAAAGAAGCUAAUGGAGGCAAUUCUCAUUUUCCUUUGCCUUCCCAAUUAUAAAUAGUCACUGAGAAGAAACAGCCGCAGGAUCCAUUUUUCAUAAGUUUUCAUGGCAAAAAAUGUAACGAGACAGAGCAGGCAGUGGUGGGUGUGGCUACUGUUGCUUGAGACGUCUCACUCUGAGACCCAGUUAAAAACUGUACCGUGAUGCACAGACACAAGGGGCGGGCAAUUAAAGCUGUGAGG